CGGACGGGUGAGUGAUGUCUGGGAAACUGCCCGAUGGAGGGGGAUAACUACUGGAAACGGUAGCUAAUACCGCAUAACGUCGCAAGACCAAAGAGGGGGACCUUCGGGCCUCUUGCCAUCGGAUGUGCCCAGAUGGGAUUAGCUAGUAGGUGGGGUAACGGCUCACCUAGGCGACGAUCCCUAGCUGGUCUGAGAGGAUGACCAGCCACACUGGAACUGAGACACGGUCCAG
rnacentral:rRNA from 1 species